rnacentral:rRNA from 1 species
GACGAACGCUGGCGGCGUGCUUAACACAUGCAAGUCGAACGAGAGCGUAGAGAAAGCUUGCUUUUUCUACAAUCUAGUGGCAAACGGGUGAGUAACGCGUAAACAACCUGCCCUUCGGAUGGGGACAACAGCUGGAAACGGCUGCUAAUACCGAAUACGUUCCGAAAGUCGCAUGACUAUCGGAAGAAAGGAUGGCCUCUAUUUAUAAGCUAUCGCCGGAGGAGGGGUUUGCGUCUGAUUAGCUAGUUGGAGGGGUAACGGCCCACCAAGGCGACGAUCAGUAGCCGGUCUGAGAGGAUGAACGGCCACAUUGGAACUGAGACACGGUCCAGACUCCUACGGGAGGCAGCAGUGGGGAAUCUUCCGCAAUGGGCGAAAGCCUGACGGAGCAACGCCGCGUGAGUGAAGACGGCCUUCGGGUUGUAAAGCUCUGUUAUACGGGACGAAUAAUCUUGUGGUUAAUACCCAGGAGAAGUGACGGUACCGGAAGAGAAAGCCACGGCUAACUACGUG